rnacentral:rRNA from 1 species
UUGAUCAUGGCUCAGAUUGAACGCUGGCGGCAGGCUUAACACAUGCAAGUCGAGCGGAGAGAAGUAGCUUGCUACUGAUUUUAGCGGCGGACGGGUGAGUAAUACUUAGGAAUCUGGCUAUUAGUGGGGGACAACAUUUCGAAAGGGAUGCUAAUACCGCAUACGUCCUACGGGAGAAAGCAGGGGAUCAGUAAUGACCUUGCGCUAAUAGAUGAGCCUAAGUCGGAUUAGCUAGUUGGUGGGGUAAAGGCCUACCAAGGCGACGAUCUGUAGCGGGUCUGAGAGGAUGAUCCGCCACACUGGGACUGAGACACGGCCCAGACUCCUACGGGAGGCAGCAGUGGGGAAUAUUGGACAAUGGGGGGAACCCUGAUCCAGCCAUGCCGCGUGUGUGAAGAAGGCCUUAUGGUUGUAAAGCACUUUAAGCGAGGAGGAGGGUACUGGUAUUAAUACUACCAGCUACUGGACGUUACUCGCAGAAUAAGCACCGGCUAACUCUGUGCCAGCAGCCGCGGUAAUACAGAGGGUGCGAGCGUUAAUCGGAUUUACUGGGCGUAAA